AGCAGCCGCGGUAAUUCCAGCUCCAAUAGCGUAUAUUAAAGUUGUUGCAGUUAAAGAGCUCGUAGUUGAAUUUCGGGAUCAAUAUGUUGGUCGUGCCUCGGUACGUACUAGCAUAUUGGUUUCUCCUUUCUGAAGAACCAUGAUGUCAUUUAUUUGGUGUCGUGGGGAAUCAGGACUGUUACUUUGAAAAAUUAGAGUGUUUAAAGCAGGCUCACGCUUGAAUACAUUAGCAUGGAAUAAUGAAAUAGGACGUUUUGAUUCUAUUUUGUUGGUUUCUAGGAUCGACGUAAUGAUUAAUAGGGAUAGUUGGGGGCAUUAGUAUUCAAUUGUCAGAGGUGAAAUUCUUGGAUUUAUUGAAGACUAACUACUGCGAAAGCAUUUGCCAAGGAUGUUUUCAUUAAUCAAGAACGAAAGUUAGGGGAUCGAAGACGAUCAGAUACCGUCGUAGUCUUAACCAUAAACUAUGCCGACUAGGGAUCGGAUGAUGUUAAUUUUUAAUGUACUCAUUUCC
rnacentral:misc_RNA from 1 species